UACGGGGGGGGCAAGCGUUGUUCGGAAUUACUGGGCGUAAAGGGCUCGUAGGUGGCCAACUAAGUCAGACGUGAAAUCCCUCAGCUUAACUGGGGAACUGCGUCUGAUACUGGAUGGCUUGAGUUUGGGAGAGGGACGCGGAAUUCCAGGUGUAGCGGUGAAAUGCGUAGAUAUCGAGAGGAACACCUGCGGCGAAGGCGGGUUGCUGGGCUGGCACUGACGCUGAUGCGCGAAAGCCAGGGGAGCGAACGGG
rnacentral:rRNA from 1 species